GAGGGCAAAACGAUAUUGUUGAUAGGUUUAUUUGUUCCCAUUUGUGAUGCAGGGCAUAUUUAUGCGAUUUGGGGCUUUCGUUCAUUAUAUCAAGCUUAGGAUACCUUUGACAUGUAUGUAAUGAUUCUCUUUGGUUGCCAAGGUAAAGUUCUUCUUGGGCUGAUUCAGUUCAUAUUAUGUACACAAGAAACAUAAUAGUGCAGAUCCAACUCAAAGCCUUUCAGACCAUACUAUAAAUGCCCUAAAUGCCCUACUGUUCUUUAUUUAUCAGUGCUUAUAAGCUUCUCCAGAUGCAGGUAUCCCUCCCAGUGCAUAUGAAGUGGAACAUAUCUAUGUAAGUUUUGUUUUGCCUCGAUACGAAUCAAUUACUUUUUUUGAACAUCAUACGAAGUCAUUGUAACCUAUUUAGAACUGGAAUUUUAACAAAGAUUGUCCUAUGCUGUAGCCAUGGGACUUUUUUUUAUUAUACACCAGCUUGCACGAGGUGCAUUAGUCUUUGUCGCCUAAUUUGGUUCCUCUUCUUAGCUAGAGGUAUACUAAGAAAUACUAGCUAGGUUCUCUCUGUACGAGCACUAAUGCAUUUUUGGGAAGUAUGGUAUCUCAUCUGAGGUGUGUGAAUUUAGGCAAUAAAGAAAAACAUAUACUCAUGUUGUAGUUUUUGUUUAGAAUUGAAAUAGUUAUUGAUAAGAGAAAUAUGCUUAACAUGCUACAUGCAUAGUCAUAUUGCUAAAAUGUGACAUUUCAUAUUGAAGACUAUAUACUAUUUAAGCAGCUACCUGUGUUCCAAAACUAUCAAAUAUUUUAUUUCAAAUGGUCAGGUAGGCUUACAGUUAUUGACAACCAGUUGGGGAUACUAGGAUAUUGGAUGAGGUAGUUCUUAUAGUGUAGGAACUACAAUCCAUUGACAGUGUUUGGAACUUACUGACAAUGAUAGUGGACAUACUGGUAUUUGAAUAAUGUCCCAUGUGUUUUAUUGCUAAUUUUUGUUUAAACAAAUUGUUCAUGAUAGUUGGGAAGUACAGCUGGCCCAAUGUGUUAUGGGGAACAAAAGCAAUUGUUAAUUGUUGCUUUCUCAUGAAAAGGAUGUAAUUAAUUAUCUGGAACCAAUGUGGAAUAGUUAUUCUCCUUCAAGUUUUGUCUUAAUAUCCAACAGAUGGAUAUAAAAUUGAAACCACUUUCUAUGCAUGAAACACUUAUUUUUCUUCUUUUUUAGGCCAGUUGAUCUAUGAUGGGAUUCUUUGACCAACGAUGGAAUGUUCGUUAGUGCCUUUUUUUCCAAGCUUAUAAACCUGAAAUGUGUCUGCAUAUUCUGGAAAAAGGAUAUUCAGAUAAUAUCAUUACUUUAAAAUAAUCUACAUAUUCUGAAUUUAAAUAGCAAGUGGACAAUACAAACUUAUAAAUUAUAUGUUCCCUUUUAUUCCUUGGCAUGGAAUGUAAAUCAGCAACCACAUGUUCCAUCUG
rnacentral:lncRNA from 1 species